GAUGAACGCUAGCUACAGGCCUAACACAUGCAAGUCGAGGGACCGGCGCACGGGUGAGUAACACGUAUCCAACCUUCCCUUUACUCUGGGAUAGCCUUUCGAAAGAAAGAUUAAUACCCGAUAUAAAGGAUGGGGAUGCGUUCCAUUAGGUGGUUGGUGAGGUAACGGCUAACCAAGCAUUCGAUGGAUAGGGGUUCUGAGAGUAAGGUCCACGAGAUUGGAGCUGAGACACGGUCCAAACUCAUACGGGGGAGAGGAGUGAGGGAUACUGUGGAAUGGACGGUAGCCGGAACCAGCCAAGUGGCGGAAAGAAUGAAGGCUUAUGAGUCGUAAGCUUCUUGUAUAUAAGAAUAUGUAUUAUAUGAAUAAGGAUCGGCUAACUCCGUGCCAGCAGCCGCGGUAAUAC
rnacentral:rRNA from 1 species